UACGUAGGGGGCGAGCGUUGUCCGGAAUUAUUGGGCGUAAAGGGUACGCAGGCGGUUCUUUAAGUCUGAUGUGAAAUCUCACAGCUUAACUGUGAGCGGUCAUUGGAAACUGAGGAACUUGAGUAUAGAAGAGAAGAGUGGAAUUCCAAGUGUAGCGGUGAAAUGCGUAGAUAUUAGAAGGAACACCAGUGGCGAAGGCGACUUUCUGGACUGUAACUGACGCUGAGGCACGAAAGCGUGGGUAGCGAACAGGAUUAGAUACCCCGGUAGU
rnacentral:rRNA from 1 species